rnacentral:lncRNA from 1 species
AUGAGCUCAGAUGGGGGGACAGUUCUCUGUCGGGGGGGUCCCAGGCCGCGGCUCUCAGGACCCCUGCGGUCAGAGCUUGCGGCCGUGGCCCCGGGCCUGGGGUCGGCGCUGCUGGGUCCUGCGUAUGGAGGUGGCAUCUUGCACGAGUGGGUCCUGGGUGCCCUGGGGGUCCUCGUUUCGCGUUUGCUUAAGGCCUGGGGAGGCCGAGGUAGCCUUGGAGCCCCGCGCGGCCCGAGGCCCCAGCCCCCACGGCCCGAGGCCUGGCGCGGAGGGGGAGCCCCGUCAGGGCUGCGCGGUCCAAGCCACAGGGCGGGGAAGCAGCAGAAGCCAGAGCGCAGCCAAGAAAGUCUCCUUUAUGCUCCGGCCAACCCGAGUCCGCAGACGGGGAAUAACACGGUGGCGCUGCGGCCUGCGGCCCCGAGCUGCAGGCGCGGCCCAGAGACGCCAGCGCCCCGGGCCUCCCGCAGUCAUUGCCCGGGCGUCCGUGCUGUCGCCGAGGCCCCUGCGUGUCCCCACGGCCACGUGGAGGCCGGGACCCCUGACAGGGGCCGCGGGACAGAACGAGGGGAACCCACGGCCCCCCGCACGGCCCUCCGCCCCGCGUGCAGCCCGACGAGGCAGGACGGCAACCGUGGGGGGGCCGGGCCCCCUCUCCCCGAUUCUCCGGACAGCCCUGCCCGGGCCCCAGGAGGGUGGGGCACCGCGGAGGGGAGUCUCACGGGAAAGGAGAGAUUCCGAGUUAAAAUGACCCGGUUCACUAGCCGCACCGUCCGCUUGCGACCGGAGGCAGGAUGGCAGUGUAGACACCGAAGGGCCCGUGCAGUCGGGUCUCUGCGCCCGCCAGCUUCCGCAGCCGAGGUGAUGCCUGAGGUCGUCGGCUCUGAGGAGGCGUCGAGGGCUCAGCCGACGGGCCGGUGCAGCCCCCGCAGCAGCCGACGGGGCACCUGGCCUUGCUCACCCGCAGGCCUCCCUUGUCAGCAGGCUCCCUGCAUCACACGGGGCCCGUCCCGCUCCAGGUGGUGCUCCCGACGUGGGCCCUGA